rnacentral:rRNA from 1 species
AAGGGCACCACAAGAACGCGUGGAGCAUGUGGCUUAAUUCGACUCAACGCGGGAAAUCUUACCGGGUCCGGACGUGCUGAGGAUUGACAGGUUUUGCGUCAUUUCACUUUGGUUUCUUUCACGAGAGGCUUUAGUGGGUGGCACUUAAAGAUGCUAGUCCUUUCAUGAUUGUGCGAUAGGUGGUGCAUGGCCGUUCUUAGUUCGUGGAGUGAUCUGUCUGCUUAAUUGCGUUUCGCAAAAGGUCAUCACUAACGCUUUCUGAGCACCUAACGUUCAGCGUUCACCUCUUUCGCUGCCGUUUGUUAGGUCAUUUUACUGUUGCCUUUGCCUUCUCUACGCUCUGCUGUGGCAGCCUGCGCCUUGGCCACUCCUCUAUCUUUUCCCUCUCUCUCCGGAGGGUGGGAGCUGAUGGAGCUUGAGAGGUUUUGGCGUUGGGCGCACCGCGCAGGGUUGAAGGUCUCAAGGGUGAUGGGAGAUCUCUUUCGGUGGUUGAGGUUUGAAUGCCGUUGGGUUACUUUUCAAGUCUCAGUAUAGCGUGUUGACCUUGAAAGCAACGAACGUGACCGCAGCCUCUUGUUGCCCUGCUUGUUUUUGUGCAUUUUUAAUGCACAAAACACACACGGGUCAAACUAGAGGGACCGCUCGAUAUAUGUUAAAACAGAGGAAGGUUGCGGCAAUAACAGGUCUGUGAUGCCCUUAGAUGUUCCGGGCUGCACGCGUGCUACAAUGAUUAUUGCAGUAAGCAUCUUACUUUUACACUAUGUUUCCCCUCUUCCUUUUGUGUUGAGGUGGAGGCUCCCUUUGUGUUGUACUUUUGCUUUUAUUAGUGAAAGUUGCAACAUCAUUGGGGAAUACACCUACUUCGAAAGUCAGUAGGUAAUCAUUUCUAAGUAAUGAUUUCCCUUUUUACAAGCACAUAUCAUGUUUCAAUGCAAGUUUGCUCUUUUUAGUACCAUUGUUUUUAACAUGGUGCAGAGAUGCAUUCUCUUUGGUAACGUGUGCUCCCCCUUUUCUUUUCUUUUGUCUUUCCCUUUUGGGAUUGCGAGAGUCAAGAAAAUCAAUUCGUGGUGGGGACAGACCAUUGCUAAUUGUUGGUCUCGGUCUUAACUAGGAAUGCCUUGUACGGGUCUUUGGUUCAACAAACCACCCGGAAUACGUCCCUGCCCUUUGUACACACCGCCCGUC